UCCGAACUGUGCGAACGUUAUUCGGAAUCACUGGGCUUACAGGGUGCGUAGGCGGCUCAACAAGUCAGGUGUGAAAGCCCCCGGCUCAACCGGGGAACUGCGCUUGAAACUGUUAGGCUCGAGUCAGCUAGAGGUACACGGAACUUCCAGUGGAGCGGUGAAAUGUGUUGAUAUUGGAAGGAACGCCGGAGGCGAAAGCGGUGUACUGGGGCUGGUCUGACGCUGAGGCACGAAAGCCAGGGGAGCGAACGGG
rnacentral:rRNA from 1 species